rnacentral:rRNA from 1 species
UACGAAGGGGCUAGCGUUGCUCGGAAUGACUGGCGUAAAGGCGCGUAGGCGGACAUCUUUGUCGGCGUGAAAUUCCAGGCUUACCUUGGGCUGCGUUCGAGACGGGUGUCUUGAGUGGGAAGAGGUCGUGGAAUUCCAGUGUAGAGGUGAAUUCGUAGAUAUUGGAAGACACCGGUGCGAGCGCGACUGUCUUACUGACGCUGAGCGCGAAGCG